GGGACUGUGGCUUAGUGGUAGAAUGUGCUUGCCUAGCAUGCAUGAAGCUUUGGGUUCAAGUCCUCAGUACCA
rnacentral:tRNA from 1 species